UACGCACGCUGGCGGCGUGCUUAACACAUGCAAGUCGAACGGAAAGGCCCUGCUUUUGUGGGGUGCUCGAGUGGCGAACGGGUGAGUAACACGUGAGUAACCUGCCCUUGACUUUGGGAUAACUUCAGGAAACUGGGGCUAAUACCGGAUAGGAGCUCCUGCUGCAUGGUGGGGGUUGGAAAGUUUCGGCGGUUGGGGAUGGACUCGCGGCUUAUCAGCUUGUUGGUGGGGUAGUGGCUUACCAAGGCUUUGACGGGUAGCCGGCCUGAGAGGGUGACCGGCCACAUUGGGACUGAGAUACGGCCCAGACUCCUACGGGAGGCAGCAGUGGGGAAUAUUGCACAAUGGGCGGAAGCCUGAUGCAGCAACGCCGCGGGCGGGAUGACGGCCUUCGGUUUGUAAACCGCUUUCGCCUGUGACGAAGCGUGAGUGACGGUAAUGGGUAAAGAAGCACCGGCUAACUACGUG
rnacentral:rRNA from 1 species